UUUAUGGCUAAGACGGGAGAGACCGAGAGUCUGUUUAAAGAUGAUGUCUCAACAUUCCCAUUGAUUGCUGCACGAACCACCACAAUUCCUUAUCUAAGUGCCUUGCUACCAUCUGAGCUUGAGUUGCAGCAGAUGGAGGAGACAGAUUCCUCAGAACAGGAUGAUCAGACUGAUACAGAAAACCUUGCACUAAAUAUGAAUUCGGAUGAAAUGUCUGCUGAAAAGGAAAAUACCAUGUUACAACAAAGCUCGGGAUUAUCUAAUACUAAGAGUAGUGAAGAGCCAAUGAUUGACAAUCCAUAUCUAAGACCAGUCAAAAAGCCCAAGAUCCGUAGGAAGAAAUGAUUUUCUGGAGGCAAUGCAAGAAUGAUUUGAGUGAAUGCCAUGCAUUGUAACAACACAGUUAUUUGAACUGAAGGAAAAUGUUGUUGAUUUGAAAACUCUUUUCACCUUUGGACAAUGUGAAAAAGGAAUCGCAGACCUAAUGGAGUCAUGGUUUUUAAUUCUGGAAGAUAUGCUAAUUUGGUAACCGUGAAAUUUGGAUAACCAGUACCUGAAGCCAGAAUCUGUUGCAUUUCUGUUCCAAUGGAGCAAACAUACUUCUGUUGCUAGUUUUAAGAUCUACUUGAACUUCAUUGCAGUGCAGCUCAUGAACGUCUUAUGAUCUUUGUCUUUAUGAAGGUCACAUGUCACAUCGACUAAGACACACAUUCAAGUGUGGUAAUAAAUGGCUAUUUCUUCAACAUGA